AACACAUGCAAGUCGAGGGCCUCGGUAGCACAGGAGAGCUUGCUCUCUGGGUGACGAGCGGCGGGUGAGUAAUGUCUGGGAAACUGCCUGAUGGAGGGGGACGGAUAACUACUGGAAACGGUAGCUAAUACCGCAUAACGUCUUCGGACCAAAGUGGGGGACCUUCGGGCCUCACGCCAUCAGAUGUGCCCAGAUGGGAUUAGUAGGUGGGGUAAUGGCUCACCUAGGCGACGAUCCCUAGCUGGUCUGAGAGGAUGACCAGCCAAGCUCACUGGAACUGAGACACGGUCCAGACUCCUACGGGAGGCAGCAGUGGGGAAUAUUGCACAAUGGGCGCAAGCCUUGCAGCCAGAUGCCGCGUGUGUGAAGAAGGCCUUCGGGUUGUAAAGCACUUUGAGGAGCGGGAAGGGUUCAGUGUUAAUAGCACUGUGCAUUGACACCGUUACUCGCAGAAGAAGCACCGGCUAACUCCGUGCCAGCAGCCGCCGUAAUACGGAGGGUGCAAACGUUAAUCGGAUUACUGGGCGUAAAGCGCACGCAGGCGGUUUGUUAAGUCAGAUGUGAUUAUCCCCGCGCUUAACGUGGGAACUGCAUUUGAAACUGGCUUCCUAGAGUCUUGUAGAGGGGGGUAGAAUUCCAGGUGUAGCGGUGAAAUGGGUAGAGAUCUGGAGGAAUACCGGUGGCGAAGGCGGCCCUUUGGACAAAGACUGACGCUCUGGUGCGAAAGCGUGGGGAGCAAACAGGAUUUUGAUACCCUGGUAGUCCACGCUGUAAACGAUGUCGACUUGGAGGUUGUGCCCUUGAGGCCAGGCUUCCGGAGCUAACGCGAUAAGUCGACCGCCUGGGGAGUACGGCCGCAAGGUUAAAACUCAAAUGAAAAGACGGGUUCCCCACAAGCGGUGGAGCAUGUGGUUUAAUUCGAUGCAACGCGAAGAACAUUACCUACUCUUGACAUCCACAGAAUUCGAUAGAGAUAGCUUAGUGCCUUCGGGAACUCUGAGACAGGUGCUGCAUGGCAGUCGUCAGCUCGUGUUGUGUUAUGUUGGGUUAAGUCCCGCAACGAGCGCAACCCUUAUCCUUUGUUGCUAGCACGUAAUGGUGGGAACUCAAAGGAGACUGCCGGUGAUAAACCGGAGGAAGGUGGGGAUGACGUCAAGUCAUCAUGGCCCUUACGAGUAGGGCUACACACGUGCUACUUAUGGCGUAUACAAAGAGAAGCGAACUCGCGAGAGCCAGCGUACCUCAUAAAGUACGUCGUAGUCCGGAUCGGAGUCUGCAACUCGACUCCGUGAAGUCGGUUUCGCUAGUAAUCGUAGAUCAGAAUGCUACGGUGAAUACGUUCCCGGGCCUUGUACACACCGCCCGUCACACCAUGGGAGUGGGUUGCAAAAGAAGUAGUUAGCUUAACCUUCGGGAGGGCGCUUACCACUUUGUGAUACAUGACUGGGGUGAAGUCGUAACAAGGUAACCGUAGGGGA
rnacentral:rRNA from 1 species